UAACAUUAUAUUUCACAAUUAUUAUCUUAUUCUAACGAAUUGAUAUCUUAUUCUAAUGGUAUUGUAUGUAUGUAAUCUUGUUGUGGUUAUGUACGAAUCAGCAUUCAAAAAUGCGAUUAAGAAAGAUAAACCAUAUAUUUAUUGAUUGUCAUCUAAUGGAAAUAUAAUUUCAUUAGAUUAGUUUUUGAUGCUACAAAGAAGAAUUACUCAAUUUAUGUAUACAAAUAGAAAUAUGCUAAUUAGUGUAUGAAACGCUAUGUUUCUGUAUUCACAGCUCUGAAUAUGAUUGAAGUUGUUUAGUUCGAUAAUUGUUACAUAUUAAUAUGUUGGAUGUACUGUUAUUCCUCGUUCGUGCUAUUCAGUAGUUUUCAUUUUUCGUGUUUUGUUGUGUGUUUGUUGUGUUCUCUUGCGUGUAUCUACAAAAUUCUCUUUCAUCCGCAAAAAUAUCACCUGCAUUAGGAAGGCGUUGGCGGUUGGAUCUUUGAGGUUGGAUUUGGAUCUUCGAGGAAGAUUUUAGAUUUUCGGGAUGGUGUAAUCAACGUCGAGCUGGUUGUGAGGCACCUUUUUUUCCUGAAUCCGACCUUCCUGUUUUCAUUUUAGUCGCAUUCUCCGCCUAUCCUCAUUUUUUCUGCUUAUUUUCUGCUUGCUACAGGUGCAAGGUUGCCUGAUGAAACCAAGUGGCGCAGAGAGGUGGAGAAGCUUUCCGACGACUCGACUUGGUGCGAAACCGUUUGAACGUGACGAGCGUCGGCGAACGAAAGCGCGGCGUAUCGCUUACUCAGGAACAGCCAACAGCCAACAAGAUUCAAGUUUUCCCUCGUCACAGAUCGGUAUCGCAGAAUCUACUCAUCGAUACGUAUCGAGAUUCUCAGGUCUCUAGAGAUACGUUUGCUCACGCAUACAAACACA